GACAGAUGGGAAACAAGUGACCCGUCAGGCUGGCAUGACUUCAGCUUGCCAAGCUCCUAGAAACCGACCAGGCGAGGUCUGGGAACCUCUUAUGGACUCUUCUUUUACACACCCGAGGAGGGGACCUCUCCUGGAACAAAUGCUACUUUCAGUUAUGUGCUGAGCAUGACAGUGAUUUCUUCAAGGUGAAAGAAAAAAAAAUCAUGCACCUCUGACAGAUUUUGACAGAUUUUGAAUAUUCUUACUGACAGAUUUUGAAUAAUCUUACUUUAUUUCCUGGCCAUGAACUGCUAUCAGUGGUUUACGAUUUUUCCGAUCUCUUAGACCGCUGAUUCUCAACUGGGAGUGAUUUUUGCUCCCGAGGGACACUUGGCAGCAUCUAGACAUAUCUUUGAUUGUCCCAGCUCGAGGGGGAAGGCAUUGCUGGCGUCUGGUACAUAGGUACCAGGAAUGCGCAGGAUGGCCCCUCCGCAAAGAAAGUUCCAUUCCAAAAUAUCAGUAGUGCUGAGACUGAGAAACACUCUCUUAGCCUAUGUAAACGAACAGUGCAUCACCUUAAAGAGGAUGAAGAAAUCUUACCGUUUUAGAACAGGAGGUGAGCUGGGACAUGACCUCAGUCAAGCUUCCGGCUUCACAAAUGAGGAAACAGAUCCAAGAACCGAAAAAGACUGUCAAAGCAAGGCUUCUUCACCUCACCUGAGAUGAAGGACUCCCUGUGUUAGGGGUGGAAUGAUGGGUCUGAUCAUUCAGUGCCCAAGAUGACUAUGGUUCCAUGUGAUGUGCAUAACAGAAGAUAUAACUCGAUUUUAUCUGAAAGCAAUUUUUUCUUGAAUGUUCUAGAUUUUUUAAAGAUUUUUUUAAAUUGAGAGAAGCCUGGGUGGCUCAGCAGUUGAGUGUCUGCCUUUGGCUCAGGACGUGA